GUGACCUGCAUCACUGUUCUACAGGCUCUUUUCUAGUACUAUGAUCUAAUGCGUCCAUGAAAUUUCCUAGAAAGGUCAAGUCUCAGAUGCUUUGUUAACGUUUUUAUAGCCAUCUUCUGAAGUUCCUAAGCCCUUCUUCCUCUCAUUGUUUGGGUGAAACUCGCAAACACAGAACUACAUGGGUCGCUAUGAUCCUUUAUCUUUUGGGAAUGUUGACACCCCGGAGCUAAGAAAGAGGAAUGAGAGGUUUCCUAGAUAUUCUCAGACACAUGGACAUAUUGCAUUCCAAAGCCUAUGCUUCUUUCACUAUCAUAGUUACUGCCAUUCUCCUUGGCAUUUUCAUACUUUCAGAAAUAACAGGGCCCACCACAUGCCAAGAACUAUUUACAGAUGCGGCCAUGCUCUUUCACAGUGGCUUUGAGGAAAGGGCUCAAGUGGCUGUGUCUGCUUGAGAGUUCUUUUCUUCCCAGAUUCCUAUCUUGGUUUUAUCCUGCAUUUUGGUCUCAUUAAACAAAAGUGCCACCCAGGCCAGGGCUCCUUUGAGGCUAAAACUGUCCCUUUAGAUGUAUAAUCCAUAGUAAUCCAAGUCAGAGUCUUUCAGUUUAAAAACUGUUUCUGCAUAUUUGAAUGUUGAGUCCAUCAACCCAGGGUCUCCUGAGGAUCUUCCUGACAUCUGACUAUUCUGUUUCAACUUCUGCCCACAUGGCCCUGCCAGACCUAGCUCAUACUCCUGUGAUGGUAGAUACUCAGAUGGGCCUGUGACUGAGGUGAGAACCCUGAAACAUCCGGCAUAAGCUGAGCCCCAGGUAGGCUCAGAUGUUCCAAUACAGUCCUGAGGAGUGUCCUCCUAGGUCCUAUUGGUACUGGGCAUAUAGCUCAAAGUCCGCUGUCCGGCCCAAGAUGGAGUCCUGCUUUAAAGAUGGAGCCUGUUCUGUCUGUUUCCUCCUUCAAAGGUAGGGAACCAGCGUUUAAGAAGGCAGCUGUCCUUGCCCACCUUCCCGCAAGCGAAGAUGGACUCAAGCAGGGUGGCAUGCUUUUAUUCCAGCCCAGAAGACCCCAGGUAUUAUCAACCCUGGAUAAAGUCUUCAUGAUGAUCAGUGAAUUAACCAAGACUUCUCCAUCCUCCAACUCUUCCUAUAUACCACCUUUGGCAAGAGAAUCUACACUCUGGCCCAGAACUUAUAUUCAUCUUCUACUUUUUUAUGUUCAGCUUCUUAGUUUGACUAGCACAGGUUUCAUUAUUGGAAAAUCAGAGACCUCCCACUAA
rnacentral:lncRNA from 1 species